rnacentral:rRNA from 1 species
UGCGCGAACGGAGCUUCGGCUCCUAGUAGAGCGGCGAACGGGUGAGUAACACGUGGGUAACCUGCCUGGGAGUGGGGGAUAACCUGGGGAAACUCGGGCUAAUACCGCAUACGUUCCCGGGGCUUCGGCUCCGGGAGGAAAGAUGGCCUCUGCUUGCAAGCUAUCUCUCCCAGAGGGGCCCGCGGCUGAUUAGCUUGUUGGCGGGGUAACGGCCCACCAAGCCUGCGAUGGGUAGCUGGUCUGAGAGGAUGACCAGCCACACUGGAACUGAGACACGGUCCAGACUCCUACGGGAGGCAGCAGUGAGGAAUAUUGCGCAAUGGCCGAAAGGCUGACGCAGCGACGCCGCGUGGAGGAUGAAGUCCGUUAGGAUGUAAACUCCUUUUGCAGGGGAUGAAUGUUCCCGAUUUAUCGGGACUUGACCGUACCCUGCGAAUAAGGAUCGGCUAACUACGUGCCAGCAGCCGCGGUAAUACGUAGGAUCCGAGCGUUGUCCGGAAUUACUGGGUGUAAAGGGCGUGUAGGUGGGUCUCUCAGUCGGGGGUGAAAUCCUGCAGCUCAACUGCAGAAUUGCUUCCGAUACUGGAGGUCUUGAGUGCGGCAGAGGGAGAUGGAAUUCAUGGUGUAGCGGUGAAAUGUGUAGAUAUCAUGAAGAACACCGGUAGCGAAGGCGGUCUCCUGGUCCGUUACUGACACUGAGGCGCGAAAGCGUGGGUAGCAAACAGGAUUAGAUACCCUGGUAGUCCACGCCUUAAACGAUGGGUACUAGGUGCUGGGCCGCAAGGUUCAGUGCCAAAGCCA